UGCAUGAACUAGCAUGCGAGUCAUUGUAGCAUACAAGGCAUACGGCUCAGUAACGCGUAGUCAACCUAACCUAUGGAUGGAAAUAACCUCGGGAAACUGAGAAUAAUGUCCGAUAGAACACUAUACCUGGAAUGGUUUGUGUUCCAAAUGAUUUAUCGCCGUAGGAUGGGACUGCGGCCUAUCAGUUUGUUGGUGAGGUAAUGGCCCACCAAGACUAUUACAGGUACGGGCUCUGAGAGGAGUAGCCCGGAGAUGGGUACUGAGACACGGACCCAGGCCCUAUGGGGCGCAGCAGGCGAGAAAACUUUGCAAUGUGCGAAAGCACGACAAGGUUAAUCCGAGUGAUUUGUGCUAAACGAAUCUUUUGUUAGUCUUAGAACCACUAACGAAUAAGGGGUGGGCAAGUUCUGGUGUCAGCCGCCGCGGUAAAACCAGCACCUCAAGUGGUCAGGAUGAUUAUUGGGCCUAAAGCAUCCGUAGCCGGCUCUAUAAGUUUUCGGUUAAAUCUGUACGCUCAACGUACAGGCUGCCGGGAAUACUGCAGAGCUAGGGAGUGGGAGAGGUAGACGGUACUCGGAAGGAAGGGGUAAAAUCCUUUGAUCUUUUGAUGACCACCUGUGGCGAAGGCGGUCUACCAGAACACGUCCGACGGUGAGGGAUGAAGCUGGGGGAGCAAAACCGGGAUUAGAUACCCGGGUAGUCCAGCUGUAACUAUGCAACUCAGUGAUGCAUGACCUUAUGGAUCAUGCAGUGCUGCAUGGUCAAGUU
rnacentral:rRNA from 1 species